rnacentral:rRNA from 1 species
GAUGAACGCUGGCGGCGUGCUUAACACAUGCAAGUCGAACGGUGAAGCAGAGCUUGCUCUGUGGAUCAGUGGCGAACGGGUGAGUAACACGUGAGCAACCUGCCCCUGACUCGGGGCUAAGCGCUGGAAACGGCGGGUAAUACUGGUUUUGAGCUGGGUCCGCAUGGUCAGCAGUUGCAAAGGUUGUUCGGUCUGGGAUGGGCUCACGGCCUAUCAGCUUGUUGGUGCGGCAAGGGCUCAGCAAGGCGGCGACGGGUAGCCGGCCCGGGAGGGUGACCGGCGACACUGGCACUGAGACACGGCCCGGACGCCGACGGGAGGAAUCAGUGAUGAAUAGUGCACAGUGGCCGAAAGGCUGAUGCAGCAACGCCGCGUGAGGGAUGACGGCCUUCGGGUUGUAAACCUCUUUUAGCAGGGAAGAAGCGAAAGUGACGGUACCGGCAGAAAAAGCGCCGGCUAACUACGUG